UACGGAGGGGGCUAGCGUUGUUCGGAAUUACUGGGCGUAAAGCGCGCGUAGGCGGCUUUGCAAGUUAGAGGUGAAAGCCCGGAGCUUAACUCCGGAACUGCCUCUAAAACUGCAUCGCUAGAAUCAUGGAGAGGUUAGUGGAAUUCCGAGUGUAGAGGUGAAAUUCGUAGAUAUUCGGAAGAACACCAGUGGCGAAGGCGACUAACUGGACAUGUAUUGACGCUGAGGUGCGAAAGCGUGGGGAGCAAACAGGAUUAGAUACCCUUGUAGU
rnacentral:rRNA from 1 species